rnacentral:rRNA from 1 species
UACGUAGGGGGCAAGCGUUGUCCGGAAUCAUUGGGCGUAAAGCGCGUGUAGGCGGCUUGGUAAGUCCGCUCUGAAAGCCCGGGGCUCAACCCCGGGAGGCGGGUGGAUACUGUCAAGCUCGAGUCCGGAAGAGGCGAGUGGAAUUCCUGGUGUAGCGGUGAAAUGCGCAGAUAUCAGGAAGAACACCCGUGGCUAAGGCGGUUCUCUAGUACGGUACUGACGCUGAGACGCGAAAGCGUGGGGAGCGAACAGG